CCAAGGAGUCUAACAUGCGCGCGAGUCAUUGGGCUGUACGAAACCCAAAGGCGCAGUGAAAGCGAGGGUCGCCUCGGGCUGACCCAGGUGGGAUCCCUUCCUCUCUCCCGAGGAGGGGCGCACCACCGGCCCGUCCCGUCUGCGCUGUCAGUGGGGCGGAGCAGGAGCGUGCACGCUGGGACCCGAAAGAUGGUGAACUAUGCCUGAGUAGAACGAAGCCAGAGGAAACUCUGGUGGAAGUUCGUAGCGAUUCUGACGUGCAAAUCGAUCGUCAAACUUGGGUAUAGGGGCGAAAGACUAAUCGAACCAUCUA
rnacentral:rRNA from 1 species